GACGAACGCUGGCGGCGUGCUUAACACAUGCAAGUCGAACGGGUGCUUAUUCGGAAAGGCUUCGGCUCGGAAGAAUAAGUUACUAGUGGCGGACGGGUGAGUAACGCGUGAGGAACCUGCCCUCAAGUGGGGAAUAACAACGAGAAAUCGUUGCUAAUACCGCAUAAGACUACAAGAUCGCAUGAUCAAGGAGUCAAAGAUUUAUCGCUUGAGGAUGGCCUCGCGUCCCAUUAGCUAGUUGGUAGGGUAAUGGCCUACCAAGGCGACGAUGGGUAGCCGAGCUGAGAGGCUGAUCGGCCACACUGGGACUGAGACACGGCCCAGACUCCUACGGGAGGCAGCAGUGGGGAAUAUUGGGCAAUGGGCGCAAGCCUGACCCAGCAACGCCGCGUGAAGGAAGAAGGUUCUCGGAUUGUAAACUUCUGUUGUGAGGGACGAAACAAAUGACGGUACCUCACGAGGAAGCCCCGGCUAACUACGUGCCAGCCGCCGCCGUAAUACCUAAGACU
rnacentral:rRNA from 1 species